rnacentral:pre_miRNA from 1 species
AGGCGGACAUUGGAUGAAUCCUACCCGGUGAGGCUUCUAUUUCAACCACACCGGACGAGAUUUCAUCCGACAGCAG